rnacentral:rRNA from 1 species
AUUGAACGCUGGCGGAAUGCUUUACACAUGCAAGUCGAACGGCAGCACGGGAGCUUGCUCCUGGUGGCGAGUGGCGAACGGGUGAGUAAUAUAUCGGAACGUAUCCAAUAAUGGGGGAUAACUAAGCGAAAGCUUGGCUAAUACCGCAUACGCCCUACGGGGGAAAGGGGGGAUCGCAAGACCUCCCGCUAUCAGAUGAG